UACAGAGGUCUCAAGCGUUGUUCGGAUUCAUUGGGCGUAAAGGGUGCGUAGGCGGCGCGGUAAGUCGGGUGUGAAAUCUUGGAGCUUAACUCCGAAACUGCAUUCGAUACUGCCGUGCUUGAGGACUGGAGAGGAGACUGGAAUUUACGGUGUAGCGGUGAAAUGCGUAGAUAUCGUAAGGAAGACCAGUGGCGAAGGCGGGUCUCUGGACAGUUCCAUGACGCUGAGGCACGGAAGGCCAGGGGAGCAAACGGG
rnacentral:rRNA from 1 species